GCUGGGAUGUGAUGGGGAGCGAAAUUUAGUAGCGAAGUAGCUGAUUUCACACUGUCAAGAAAAGUCUCUAUCGAGGUUAAAGGUACCCGUACCGCAAACCGACACAGGUGGGUGAGGAGAGUAUCCUAAGGCCAGCGAGAGAACUGUUGUUAAGGAACUCGGCAAAAUGACCCCGUAACUUAGGGAUAAGGGGUGCCACCAUCCGGUGGCCGCAGAGAAUAGGCCCAAGCGACUGUUUACCAAAAACAUAGGUUUCUGCUAAGUCGCAAGACGAUGUAUAGGAGCUGACGCCUGCCCGGUGCUGGAAGGUUAAGGGGAUCUGUUAGAGCAAUCGAAGCAGUGAACUUAAGCCCCAGUAAACGGCGGCCGUAACUAUAACGGUCCUAAGGUAGCGAAAUUCCUUGUCGGGUAAGUUCCGACCCGCACGAAAGGCGUAACGAUUUGGGCACUGUCUCAACAACAGACUCGGUGAAAUUGUAAUUCCGGUGAAGAUGCCGGAUACCUGCGACAGGACGGAAAGACCCCAUGGAGCUUUACUGUAGCUUGACAUUGGGUCUUGGUACUACAUGUACAGGAUAGGUGGGAGGCUUUGAAACCAGGACGCCAGUUUUGGCGGAGCCAUCCUUGGGAUACCACCCUUGUAGUACUGGGACUCUAACCAUAGGCCAUGAAUCUGGUCUUGGGACACUGUCAGGUGGGCAGUUUGACUGGGGCGGUCGCCUCCCAAAAGGUAACGGAGGCGCUCAAAGGUUCUCUCAGUACGGUCGGAAAUCGUACGUAGAGUGUAAAGGCAAAAGAGAGCUUGAUUGCAAGACAUACAGGUCGAGCAAGGAUGAAAAUCGGACUUAGUGAUCCGGUGGUUCUGCGUGGAAGGGCCAUCGCUCAACGGAUAAAAGCUACCCUGGGGAUAACAGGCUUAUCUCCCCCAAGAGUCCACAUCGACGGGGAGGUUUGGCACCUCGAUGUCGGCUCAUCACAUCCUGGGGCUGUAGUAGGUCCCAAGGGUUGG
rnacentral:rRNA from 1 species